rnacentral:rRNA from 1 species
UACAGAGGGUGCAAACGUUGCUCGGAAUUAUUGGGCGUAAAGCGCGUGUAGGCGGUUUGUUAAGUCGGUUGUGAAAUCCCAUGGCUCAACCAUGGAAGUGCUGCCGAAACUGGCGAACUAGAGUCCCGACGAGGAUGGCGGAAUUCCCAGUGUAGAGGUGAAAUUCGUAGAUAUUGGGAGGAACACCGGUGGCGAAGGCGGCCAUCUGGGAGGGUACUGACGCUCAGACGCGAAAGCGUGGGUAGCAAACAGG